CCUACGGGAGGCAGCAGUGGGGAAUAUUGCACAAUGGGGGGAACCCUGAUGCAGCGACGCCGCGUGAGUGAAGAAGUAUUUCGGUAUGUAAAGCUCUAUCAGCAGGGAAGAAAAGGACGGUACCUGACUAAGAAGCCCCGGCUAACUACGUGCCAGCAGCCGCGGGAAUACGUAGGGGGCAAGCGUUAUCCGGAUUUACUGGGCUUAAAGGGAGCGCAGACGGCUGUGCAGGUCUGGAGUGAAAGGCGGGGGCCCAACCCCCGGACUGCUCUGGAAACUGUAAAGCUGGAGUGCAGGAGAGGUAAGCGGAAUUCCUAGUGUAGCGGUGAAAUGCGUAGAUAUUAGGAGGAACACCAGUGGCGAAGGCGGCUUACUGGACUGCAACUGACGUUGAGGCUCGAAAGCGUGGGGAGCAAACAGGAUUAGAUACCCCGGUAGUC
rnacentral:rRNA from 1 species